UACGAAGGGGGCUAGCGUUGCUCGGAAUGACUGGGCGUAAAGGGCGCGUAGGCGGCUUGCACAGUCAGGCGUGAAAUUCCUGGGCUCAACCUGGGGACUGCACUUGAGACGUGUGGGCUUGAGUGGGGAAGAGGGUCGUGGAAUUCCCAGUGUAGAGGUGAAAUUCGUAGAUAUUGGGAAGAACACCGGUGGCGAAGGCGGCGACCUGGUCCUUGACUGACGCUGAGGCGCGAAAGCGUGGGGAGCAAACAGG
rnacentral:rRNA from 1 species